rnacentral:rRNA from 1 species
CCCUUAGAUGUUCUGGGCAGCACGCGCGCUACAAUGUUCUUCGCAAACGGAUGCAUUCUCGAAGGAGAAUGCCAAUCUUGGAAUCUAUGCCUUGGUCGGGACAGUUGCUUGCAAUUUUUCGACUCGAACCAGGAAUUCCUUGUAAUCGUGAUUCAUCACAUCACGAUGAAUACGUCCCUGCCCUUUGUACACACCGCCCGUCGCUCCUACCGAUCGAAGAGUUAGGUGAAUUGUUUUGAUCGAUAAGAUUUGACUAUGGUCAACUCUCGUUGUGAAAUUCUGUGAAUCUGACUGUUUAGAGGAAGGAAAAGUCGUAACA